UUUAGCUAACACAGGAUUAAACUGUCCGCAUUCUCUUCCCAGUCACAACACUCCGGUUUUAUGCGGGAAUUAAAACAAGCAAACCAAAACCGCCCCUUUGGGGGUAAAUUCUCAUUUAUUUGGUGAACUUCCUACUCCAGGAGCCAAUUCAACUGGUCUAGCUCAGCCCGAAGAAAAAGCCGGCGUCGAUUUUCUUGCGCCUUAGCGAUCCAAAAUAUGAGUGGAAAAAGCCAAAACUUGGCUCAACUCUUUUUCCAAAGAUCUUUGCGCGUGUUCUCCAGCCGCCCGGACCGACGCUAAGGUCUGAGAGGCAAAAGCCCCCAAAGCGGGCGCGUGAGCCACUUCAAGCCAAGAACUUUCCAGGGAGCGGGUAUCUCUCGGCCUCCGAGACAGGAGCGGGCGAGAAGAGACGCUGAAUUUUGGAAACCCCGUGAAAUUGGUCCAGCGAGCCUAGAGAUCUCGGGAGCGGGGCUGCGCUUUCAGCUAAGGCCCGAGGUGACUUCAGGAUUUCUACAGAAAGGCCUGAAAUUCAAGGGUCUUGUGUUACAAGAGAAACACGUAAGAGUUUCCCUACUAUACUCUCCAGUUCAAAAUUAGACAGACACAAUGGUCACUUUUUUUUAGCCACACCACACAACAUAUGGGAUCCUAGUUUCCUGACCACGGACUGAACCUGCAUUUUGAGCACAGACUCCUAAACAUCGGACCACCAGAGAAGUUCCUGAGGUCCUCUGAGGUUUUGAGACUGCAUCAGUAAAUUCUUGUUCCAACAGCUGGAGGAAGCUGGCUUAUAAAACCUUGUGCUGGCAUCAUUUCAGAGCAUCAGGAAACAUGAGAAAUGGAAGCAGAAAUGAAGGCACCUUCAGACUUCUCUCUCCUUCGACAGGACCCCAGACAGCCAAAGCCUGACCCAAAGCCAGAGGAGAAAUAGAGAGGUGACCUGGGUAAGAUGGGGAGGUAAAGAGCAGUCAGAGACUCAAGAUUCCUAGGUGUCUUCUUUGGUUCAACAGGUUCAUUCCCUCUUCCAGAACUUACCAGACCUUUCUUCCUUUGCCCUCACUCAAAUUACCUGCCUUGCCUUUACUUCUACUGCCCAUGGACUAAAGUUAUAUGUAUUUUUCCUUACGACUCAGUGCAGAUUCUACAUUCUCCAAAGAAGCUUUUCAGAUCAUCUUCCUUCCUGUGAUAAAAUAAAGGGGAUG